UUUAUAUUAAAGCUAAUUAUGUAAAAAUGUAAUUAAUGUGUUACAAACAUGGAUCAUUGCUGAUGUUGGCAAUUCAUCUAACAAUGGUGAUCAAUCAAUGAACCUGUGAACCAAUAUUUGCCAUCAACCAUUUCAACAGAAACAAUAGUCAAAGAUGUACUCCAAAGCUUUUUUCCUUGUGAAGAUGUCAAAUGCAAAUCAUUGGCCGGACGAAAUUUGAGUAGUAUCGCUAAGGAAUGGUGAGCUAUGUCAAGGAUGAGAAAAACAGUUUCCCUAGUGAAGAUGAGGAUGGCUGAUAGGAGGAGGAUGAAGUUUCUCAAGAGCAAAAUUUUUAAAGAUCAAUAAAAACCUCAGAUUACGAGUUUUUU